AUUGAACGCUGGCGGCAUGCCUUACACAUGCAAGUCGAACGGGAUUCUUUGAUCAGCUUGCUGAGAGAAGGAUCUAGUGGCGGACGGGUGAGUAACGCGUGGGAAUCUGCCUCUUACUGGGGGAUAACAGUGGGAAACUACUGCUAAUACCGCAUAAGAUCUUCGGAUGAAAGGUGCAACUGCACCGGUAAGAGAUGAGCCCGCGUCCCAUUAGCUAGUUGGUGAGGUAAAGGCUCACCAAGGCGACGAUGGGUAGCCGGCCUGAGAGGGUGAACGGCCACACUGGGACUGAGACACGGCCCAGACUCCUACGGGAGGCAGCAGUAGGGAAUCUUCCGCAAUGGGCGCAAGCCUGACGGAGCGACGCCGCGUGAGUGAUGAAGGCCUUGGGUCGUAAAGCUCUGUUCUUGAGGACGAAUAAGCCAGGGAGUGGAAAGGCCCUGGUGAUGACUGUACUCAAGGAGAAAGCUCCGGCUAACUACGUG
rnacentral:rRNA from 1 species